rnacentral:rRNA from 1 species
GAAAAGCACUCUGGAGAGAGAGUCAAAAGACCGUGAAACCGCUCAGAGUAUAAGCCCAUGGCAGCUUGGAAGGCAUAUCGCGAGCGGGGCAUCGGUCUUCCUUCGCGGGGAGCCGGUGUUACCUUGCCUCUGUUGUGGCUCGUUAUGGUAGGGGGGUCAAGUCCACAUCCCGCCGUCGUGUGGGGAGUUCUCGGGCGUGUCGUUGCUUUGCGGUUGACCUCGGUUGAUCGUAGGGCUCUUCGUGCUUGGUUCUUCUUUAGACACGGACGUUCAGACUCAGAGGCAAGACGCGAUAACCAGCCCACCACGGCACGUUGUGAGGUCACCCACAGGCUCAACUUUCGAUUGUGGUCCUUGACGCCGAGCAAGCACAAUGCGUGUCGCAGAUGUUCCUAACCGGACAAUUUUUGUCAGGACCGUGGAACGACACGCGCUCAACAGUCAGGACCGGGCGAUGACAGAGUUCUGGUACGAUCCUCUUGCGACGAGCCGCCUUCUGGCCGAUUUCCGAUGCUCAGGUCUCCCGCAUGUGCCGCGGGAGAUCGCUUUGGCGGUCUGGACCCGUAAGAGUCCUCUCAGCCGGGCAACGGAAAGAGUGGUGUAAAGUCCAAGCCCAUCGGUCACGUCUCGAAACACGGGCCAAGGAGUAUAGCAUGUGUGCAAGUCUAAGGGUCUCACAAAACCCGAAGGCGAAGUGAAAGCAAGUAAGCGGCGGGUGAUCUACGGAGAGAUCCCGUCAGCUAGAGGGGUCCUCGGACUCCUCCGGCUUUGGCAGAGUUGAUCCUGCAGCGGUACCGCAUACGUACGCUCAGGCGCAAACUCCAGGCUCACGUUUCGCACUGGUUCUCGGACUGUGCUGUGAGCACUGUGGAGCAUGCAUGCUAUGACCCGAAAGAUAGUGAACUAUGCCUGGCGAGGGCGAAGCCCCAGGAAACUGGGGUGGAGGCCCGUAGCCGUUGUGACGUGCAAAUCCAUGGUAUCAGUUGGGCAUAGGGGCGAAAGACCAAUCGAACUAUCUAGUAGCU